ACACACUCACACACUCACACACUCACUCACUCACUCACUCACUCACUCACUCACUCACUCACUCACUCACUUGGUUUUGUUGUAUAAUUAUUUUCACUUAAGAAAAUUGUACCUUUCUUUUUUUUAAUCUGACACCCCUAUUAGCUCAACCACAGUCCUCACAGCUGCAUUCAUCAGCCCCUGCACCUGCUACACCGGCUGUGACAGAUCUGCCACCCCCAGCAGUUAAUCUGCAGUCACAGCAGUCCUCUGCUGUGGUAUUUAAUCUACCGGCUGCACCAGGUCCUACUACACUGGCCGUGAAGGGAGAAACUAUUGAGGAGACCCAGAUGGAUACAGAUCGGCCAUGCUCUCCACCAGUGCCCGACAGCCUCACCCAGAAGUGCAUACACUGGGCCUAUCAAGACUGACAAAGCAGAGAUGGGUGGCUGACAAGGAGACAUAAAACAUGCACACACACGCUCUCUCUCUGUGUCUGUCUCCCACACACACACACACACACACUCUCUCUCUGUGUCUGUCUCCCACACACACACACACACACACACACACACACACACACACACACACGCUCUCUCUCUGUGUCUCUGACUCCCACACACACACACACACACACACACGCUCUCUCUCUGUGUCUGUCUCCCACACACACACACUUACACACACUCUCUCUCUGUGUCUCUGUCUCCCACACACACACACACUCUCUCUCUGUGUCUCUGUCUCACACACACACACGCUCUCUCUCUGUGUCUCUGUCUCACACACACACACACUCUCUCUGUGUCUCUGUCUCCCACACACACACACUCUCUCUCUGUGUCUCUGUCUCCCGCACACACACGCUCUCUCUCUCUCUCUGUCUCCCACACACAUACGCUUUCUCUCUGUGUCUCUGUCUCACACACACACACACACACACACACACACACACACACACACACACACACACACACACACACACACACACACACACACACACACACACACACACACACACACACACACACACACAUUAUCCCCAAUAUAAAUAAAUUGUAAUAACUUGUUUAUUUUAUGAAUCUUCCAUUUUAUUUUAGGAUUGGAGAUAUCUACUGUAUGCCUACAUUUCCAUGAUCAAUAUCUACAUAAUUACUCUAAAUAUCUAUCAAAUCAAAGUGAUAUUGAUAAUAUUGUAAAACAGUAUUGCUCUAUGUGUACAGUUUGAGGAAAUUCUGUGUGCUCUUUUUGAGUUGGAAAACAUAGCUCACUCUCACACACACACACAUUAGACCCAAUGUAGAUACAUUGUUUAUUUUAUUUAUUUUAUAUUUUAUACAUUUUAUUUGAGGAUUAUGUGCAUUAAAUGA